rnacentral:lncRNA from 1 species
UCAUCAAGCUCAUUCAUGAGCAAUUAUUGUGACGUAUUCAGGAUGAAGAUGAUGUUGGACACAGGCUGCAGAGACCAUUUCCAUAUGUAAAAAGCUUGCACGCAAGCAAGAAGAAUCCCAUUAAAGCUACUAAAAGAAUUCAAAAGGCAGAAACGGAGAAAGUGAAGGUGGAUCAUCUAAAUUAACUCUUUCUAGAGUUGGUGGAUGUGCUUGAAGUCACAUAACAAAACAAUUGGAAAGUCUCGAUAUAACUAUUAGAGUUGACAAGGACAUGCUUGAUCAACUCAAGUCUGUUAGGAAGGAGAAGGCAGCUUUGCUAUUCAAGUCAUAUAUGGGACAGGUUGUGUAGUCCCCAAUCGUGGAAGUCUUGAAGCUAUAAACAUCCAGUGCUGCAUCAAUUUUGACAUGUGGUGAUAUUAGGUUAUGGAUGACGAAGACAAUUGGUGGGGUGG